ACAAGCCGCUCAGGACAGACAGAAACGAUGGGCUGACAAAGGCAGGAGAGAAUUGGAAUUUUUGGAGGGGAACUUUGUCUUCCUAAAAAUUUCUCCGUCAAGGGGUGUUACCCGAUUUGGGCGGCACGGUAAACUGAGUCCCCGCUACAUCGGCCCAUUCGAGGUUCUCGCUAAAGUGGGCAAGGUCGCCUACAAGCUGGCCCUACCUCCAGAGUUAUCAGGAGUACACGACGUCUUUCACGUCUCCCUCCUACGCAGGUACAUCCCAGAUCCCAGCCAUGUAUUACAGUAUGAACCCUUGCAGAUAAAUGAAGACCUGACCUAUGAGGAAGCUCCUCUGCGCAUCGUCGAUAAGAAGGAGCAAAUUCUUCGGAGGCGUACCAUCCCUUAUGUCAAAGUUCAGUGGGCCAACCACACUGAACGGGAAGCCACGUGGGAACUUGAAGAGGAGAUGCGCCAAAGUUACCCCCAGCUCUUCGAAGAUAGAGGUAUGUAUAAUUUCGCGGACGAAAUUUAUUUUAAGGGGGGUAGGAUGUAAUGUCCGGGCCCACAACCUACUAGGCCCAAUAAGAAAUAGGCCCAGUUAAGGGUUUGGGCCCAAAUUUCACUGUGGGCAGUAUUAUUAUAAUAGUUAUUAUAAUGGUUAAAAAAAAAUGAAGGGAUAAGACCGACAGGGAAGGGUUACCUCACCCCCUGCUGGCAGCCGAUGCCGGCGUGCCGGAGACAGGGGGGCGGUGGCCAGUCCCGGAGCAGGGAGGAAUGGAGAGGAUGGGACCUCUCAGAGGGGGGGUCUCAUCCUCUAAACAAAUUAUUUAAGCCUCUGCCGACAACCCCAAGUGACAGACCCCCUAGAAUACUGAACGAGAGAGUGAGAGAGCCGAAGCCUUGGAGCCGAAGGCAAAGGAGCCCUGAAGCUCCAAGAGGAAGGAGGGACUACCAGGGGGAGGUACUGCCCGACUGCAACCGGCCAAGGUAAGGAGCAUUAGGGUAAGGGUUUAACAGGGGUAAAGAAAUUCCACUGUGGGGUGCUCUUCCCCUCUGUGUCAACAGUGAAACAGAGGGGAGGAAACCGACACAGGGGAGGGGAAAAAGGCCUACAGUCCACUGGUCAGGCCGGACUCAAAGGUCGUGCGCCCGACGACCACCCGGGCCAAACCCAACCGGGCUCGGCCUGCGGAUGAACCGGACACCGCGGCCUCGGCCGCCGGUACCCUGGAGUUCGGGGGGCAACCCGGGCCGCCAGAUCUGGCCGGGACGACAACAGAGGCGGCCACAGGGCCGCCAGCCCUGGCCGGACCACCACCUCUUCUCCGGCAAGGGGUGGUGGUUCCGGAGGGAAGGACCGAAAAAAAAAAAAAAAAGGAAAAUGAACUCACCGGAUCUUGAGGCUUCAUCCCCUCCGGCCAUACCUGGCCGUGGACGGAGCGGGUGGAGGCCCUCGGUUAAAGCCGAAUUCCGACCCAUCUCCGAACCCUUCCCCUCUCCGGCAUCACUUCGGAGGGAGGAAGGGCUUCCCUUCCGCCGGUGCACCGGGGGGAAACCCCCACGUCGAUCGGUGGAUCGGGGGGAGCCUCGCCUCCCCGGCCGCCUGCAAGAGAAGAAAAGGGAAAAGGAGAGAGGGAAAGAAGGAAGAAAGACCGAGGCCGGAGGGAGCCGAGGGCUCGACCGGAGAGUAGGGUCUCGGCAGGGUCAACAAAGAAAGAAAGAAAGAGGGAGAGAGAGAGAGGGAAAGAGAGGGAGUGACCGAGAGGGGGAAGGCCACAGAUCUGGCCGGAGGAGAAGAAGGGGAGCCGGAGGAGAGGGCCGGAAGCAUGGGCUUCGGUGGGAGGUUGAAGGAGAGAACGAGAGAGAGAGGAGGAAACGGAGGAGAGAGGGGAGGAAGGUAGGUGAAGAGGCGGAAGCCUCUAGAAGGGGGGAGAAAGAAAAUAUGGUAACGGGUUUGCGGGUCGGAUCUGAACCCGCAACCCGUUAAGCUUAAAUAAAUAUAUAUAUAUAUGUAUAUAUGUGUGUAUAUAUAUAUAUAAUUAGAAUGGGUUAGGUGAACCCAAUAAAACCAGACCCAGUCUAUUUGGAUGAACCCGGAUGAGGGAUGGGCUAAAUUUCAGGUAGAAAAGGAAAUAACAUAUUAUUAUUAUGACAUGAUUGUAGGUGACUUAGGACUCGUCACCAGGACGCGGGAGACCUAGGAAAAAGGCAAAUUACUAUCACCACCAGUGACAGCUGCCAGAAGCAUUUUUCUUUUGCAACAGGGCUUCUUUAUUUUUGGGGAUGAUAUAAAUAAACUUUUGUGUAUAUAAACUAUGUAGAAGCUCUGUACUUUAUAUGAACCAGUGGGUUGUAAUACCUUCUUUUGAUAUAUACAAGUUACACUGCUUUUGACUA